rnacentral:lncRNA from 10 species
CUGGACAGUGUUUUCCUUGGCCAGAGGGGCUGAGCUGUAUUCACUUGCUCAAGGACUACAAGGUACCCAGUGGAAUGUUUCAUGUUUAUUGGCUCUUAAUGGACUACUACUGAGGACUUGAGGGAAACAAACUAUAAGCCAUUCAUGCUCAGUCAAGCUUCCUUGGAGGAGACUGAAUUCCCCCUGUGAUCGCUGCCACCCUGCUGAUUCAACCGCCACUCAGACUGCCAUCAGAGGUUACUGGCUCUAGACUCAAUGUCACGAGGAGAAUGACAGCCUCCACACAAUCUGUCCCGAAAGUCUUCUCAUCUCUCCACUUCAUGAGCCUUACUCCUGAUGCAGGCACAUCACCAAAGACAAGAGAUGCAGACUUCCAGGAGUGAAAUAACAGAAAACAACCAGUGACUCACCGUGACACUGGAAAUGGCUGUGAAGAACGCAGAAUGCUGAGAGCCAACUGUCCAAUGGAUGAACAUGAGAAAGAACUAAGACAACCCCUCGAUUUCCUAAAUAUGCCAAAGGAAAGCCUCCCUUGGGGAAUGGCUGAUGCUUGGAAUAUAGAUGGCAUGUAUAAUUACUUAGUUUACAAACUGGGGUCAGUUUGACAUUAUAUGAUAAGCUGUAAGGAGAAGAAAUCUUCUUACCUCUCUACGUUCCUAAUUUGGCUGUAAAUGUGGUGUGCUGCAGGCAAGUCACAUUGGCACAUGAGAGCAGACUGUUAAAUUCUCAGAAAUUUUGUAAACCAGUUGUUAAACACAGGCAUCAUUAAGAAUUAAAGUAUAUAAACUUUCAAAUAAAUAAAUUUUAUCAAAAACAAAAAUAUAUUUUUUCAAAACUCAACACUUCCUAAUUAUUAUCAUUUUACUAUCAUCUAUGCUCUUGAAGUUAUAUUUUUAUCUAUUCUAUGGGCAUAAUGGAAACAAUAUGUCCAGCUCACUUUCCAACUUUUCCCUUAGUUGCAUCACACUGGUAGCUUGAGAUCAGCUAAGGUAGAGGUAUUCAUAUCACAAAAAUUGGCAAACACUACAAAUCAGGAUUUCAUUUGUCUUGUUGACUGUCUACACCACUAGUUCUCAACCAAGGUGACGUUUGCCCCUCCAAUGCCUAACAUUUGGCAAUGUCUCGAUAAAUUUUUGGUUCUUCCAACGGGGGAUUACUACUAGUAUCUAGUGGGUAGAGACCAUGGAUGCUGCUAAAUACCCUAUAAUUCACAGGACAACUGUAUUAAUCUGUCCUCACAUUGCUAAUAAAGACAUACCAGAGACUGGGUUACUUACAAAGGAAAGAGGCUUAAUUGAUUCACCGUUUCACAUGGCUGGGAGAACUCAC